GGGGUAAAGGCCUCCCAAGGCAUCGAUGGGUAGCCGAGUUUGAGAGGAUGAUCUGAGACCMCCCUGGAACUGUAGAACCCGGUCCAGACUCCUACGGGAGGAGCGACGCACGAUGUAGGAGAUAUUAUGUCGGCAAUGGGGGCGAACCCUCGUAGCAGUCACGCGAACCAGUCGCGCGUGAGUGAGGAGAAGAGCUUUCUGGGUACUGUAAARCUCUGUCAAACGAGGAGAAGAAGGUGUCACAGGUAGGUCUUAAUACCUGSCCGUUUUGACGGUACCCUUARAGGAAGCACCGGCUAACUCCGUGCCAGCAGCCGCGGUAAU
rnacentral:rRNA from 1 species